UCACUCUAGUUUUUCUUCAGAUCGAAUAAAUCUUUUGCCUUGUUCUAAAGAUUUUUGUAGAGACGAACAACCAUGAGUUUUCCAUCAUUUUUUGAGGCUCUGCAUAAUGCAGGGCU